AUCUCUGGAGGGUGGUGACUGCUGCACGAGGCUGUCCUCCCAGAAGUGAACACAGCAGGAAGACCUGGAAAUCCAGGAUCUCCUCGUGGACCUAAAGAGAAUUACAGAAACAUGUGACUCUGCCUUCUCUACCCUUGGAGAUAUCCACAAGGUCAAGUUAAAGUCUUUCCUCAACCUUCUGUGGUAAAUAUACAUCAUGCCCCAUUAAGAACACAUUCAGAUCAUCUCUGGUUCUCUUCCUGAGGAAAAUUAAUCUGUACUUUAU
rnacentral:lncRNA from 1 species